rnacentral:rRNA from 1 species
UACGUAGGGUGCGAGCGUUAAUCGGAAUUACUGGGCGUAAAGCGUGCGCAGGCGGUUUGCUAAGACCGAUGUGAAAUCCCCGGGCUUAACCUGGGAACUGCAUUGGAUACUGGCAGGCUAGAGUGCGGUAGAGGGUAGUGGAAUUCCCGGUGUAGCGGUGAAAUGCGUAGAGAUCGGGAGGAACACCAGUGGCGAAGGCGGCUACCUGGACCAGCACUGACACUGAGGCACGAAAGCGUGGGGAGCAAACAGG